rnacentral:rRNA from 1 species
AUUGAACGCUGGCGGCAUGCUUUACACAUGCAAGUCGAACGGUAGAGGGGGCAACCCCUCGCGUGUGGCGAACGGGUGAGUACUAUAUCGGAACGUGCCCAGUCGUGCGGGAUAAAGUAGGGUAAGCUACGCUAAUCCCGCAUACGACCUAAGGACGAAAGCGGAGGAAGGCAAGACCUCGCGCUCUCGGAGCGGCCGGUAUCGGAUUAGGUAGUUGGUGGGGUAAAGGCUCACCAAGCCAACGAUCUGUAGCUGGUCUGAGAGGACGACCAGCCACACUGGAACUGAGACACGGUCCAGACUCCUACGGGAGGCAGCAGUGGGGAAUAUUGGACAAUGGACGCAAGUCUGAUCCAGCCAUUCCGCGUGCAUGAUGAAGGCCCUCGGGUUGUAAACUGCUUUUGUACGGAACGAAAAGGUCUCUCUUAAUACGGGAGACUCAUGACGGUACCGUAAGAAGAUGCACCGGCUAACUACGUGCCAGCAGCCGCGGUAA